rnacentral:tRNA from 2 species
AUAAACAAUUAUUUAUGCUUUUUUUAAAAAGUUAGAAGCUUUUUUAAGGUAUUUCUUU